rnacentral:rRNA from 1 species
UCCUUCGGGAACAAAUCUAGCGGCGGACGGGUGAGUAACACGUGGGCAACCUGCCUUGUAGAGGGGAAUAGCCUUCCGAAAGGAAGAUUAAUACCGCAUAACAUUACAUUUUCGCAUGAAGAAGUAAUUAAAGGAGCAAUCCGCUACAAGAUGGGCCCGCGGCGCAUUAGCUAGUUGGUGAGGUAACGGCUCACCAAGGCGACGAUGCGUAGCCGACCUGAGAGGGUGGUCGGCCACAUUGGGACUGAGACACGGCCCAGACUCCUACGGGAGGCAGCAGUGGGGAAUAUUGCACAAUGGGGGAAACCCUGAUGCAGCAACGCCGCGUGAGUGAUGAAGGUUUUCGGAUCGUAAAGCUCUGUCUUCAGGGACGAUAAUGACGGUACCUGAGGAGGAAGCCACGGCUAACUACGUGCCAGCAGCCGCGGUAAUACGUAGGUGGCGAGCGUUGUCCGGAUUUACUGGGCGUAAAGGGAGCGUAGGCGGAUUUUUAAGUGAGAUGUGAAAUACCCGGGCUCAACUUGGGUGCUGCAUUUCAAACUGGAAGUCUAGAGUGCAGGAGAGGAGAGUGGAAUUCCUAGUGUAGCGGUGAAAUGCGUAGAGAUUAGGAAGAACACCA